rfam:Plasmodium falciparum NF54 unplaced genomic scaffold supercont1.128, whole genome shotgun sequence.
UCCGAGAUAGUAUAGUGGCAAGUAUUUCCGCCUGUCACGCGGAAGACCCGGGUUCAAUUCCCGGUCUCGGAG